CAGUCGCCACGGGAAUACGUAGGGUGCGAGCGCUAAUCGGAUUUACUGGGCGUAAAGCGUGCGCAGGCGGCCCGUUAAGGCAGGUGUGAAAUCCCUGGGCUCAACCUAGGAAUUGCGCUUGUGACUGGCGGGCUCGAGUACGGUAGAGGGGGGUGGAAUUCCUGGUGUAGCAGUGAAAUGCGUAGAGAUCAGGAGGAACACCGAUGGCGAAGGCAGCCCCCUGGGCCUGUACUGACGCUCAUGCACGAAAGCGUGGGGAGCGAACAGGAUUAGAUACCCCCGUAGUCCCUGUCUCUUAUAC
rnacentral:rRNA from 1 species